UACGAAGGGGGGCUAGCGUUGUUCGGAAUUACUGGGCGUAAAGCGCGCGCAGGCGGUCUUCCAAGUCAGUGGUGAAAUCCCAGAGCUCAACUCUGGAACUGCCUUUGAUACUGUCGAUCUAGAGUAUGGAAGAGGUGAGUGGAAUUCCGAGUGUAGAGGUGAAAUUCGUAGAUAUUCGGAGGAACACCAGUGGCGAAGGCGGCUCACUGGUCCAUUACUGACGCUGAGGUGCGAAAGCGUGGGGAGCAAACAGG
rnacentral:rRNA from 1 species